rnacentral:rRNA from 1 species
CUGGUGUAGCGGUGGAAUGCGCAGAUAUCAGGAGGAACACCGAUGGCGAAGGCAGAUCUCUGGGCCGUAACUGACGCUGAGGAGCGAAAGGGUGGGGAGCAAACAGGCUUAGAUACCCUGGUAGUCCACCCCGUAAACGUUGGGAACUAGUUGUGGGGUCCAUUCCACGGAUUCCGUGACGCAGCUAACGCAUUAAGUUCCCCGCCUGGGGAGUACGGCCGCAAGGCUAAAACUCAAAGGAAUUGACGGGGACCCGCACAAGCGGCGGAGCAUGCGGAUUAAUUCGAUGCAACGCGAAGAACCUUACCAAGGCUUGACAUAUACGAGAACGGGCCAGAAAUGGUCAACUCUUUGGACACUCGUAAACAGGUGGUGCAUGGUUGUCGUCAGCUCGUGUCGUGAGAUGUUGGGUUAAGUCCCGCAACGAGCGCAACCCUCGUUCUAUGUUGCCAGCACGUAAUGGUGGGAACUCAUGGGAUACUGCCGGGGUCAACUCGGAGGAAGGUGGGGAUGACGUCAAAUCAUCAUGCCCCUUAUGUCUUGGGCUUCACGCAUGCUACAAUGGCCGGUACAAAGGGCUGCAAUACCGUGAGGUGGAGCGAAUCCCAAAAAGCCGGUCCCAGUUCGGAUUGAGGUCUGCAACUCGACCUCAUGAAGUCGGAGUCGCUAGUAAUCGCAGAUCAGCAACGCUGCGGUGAAUACGUUCCCGGGUCUUGUACACACCGCCCGUCAAGUCAUGAAAGUCGGUAACACCUGAAGCCGGUGGCCUAACCCUUGUGGAGGAGCCGUCGUAGAGAGAUAACAAGCGGCCGC